CCUGGGUGUGGUGGUGCACACCUGUAAUCCCAGCUACUUGGGAGGCUGAGGCAGGAGAAUUGCUUUAACCCAGGAGGCUGAGGUUGCAGUGAGCCAAGAUCGCACCAUUGCACUCCUGCCUGGGUGACAGAGCAAGACUCCGCCUCAA
ensembl:misc_RNA Metazoa_SRP Metazoan signal recognition particle RNA